UCUCAACUCAGUCCUUUAAAGAUCAAAUGAAGGCUCAGUCUUCAAGUGAACAGAAUGCCACGGUGCCCUCUCUUCCUCUGUCAAACCCAUCUUACACUCAGAAAAGCCAGGAAAAAACACAGCUGAACCACAACCAGGAUGUCCAAUCUCUCCAGGAACCUGGUCUGUCUGCACACAUCAGUAUCCCACAGCUAGCAGAUACCAGCAGUAACCCUUCAACUGGCUUCUACUCUUCCUUUCAACGACUACCAUAACAAUGCUUUCCGCAACUCUUUCUAUUAUCAGGAGGGACAGAAGACUCUGUUUGUUCGCAGUCAGAGAUUGCAAUCAGUGGGUGGCCUCUCUCUGCUGCUAAUGCACUGUGCUGCACACAUUUCCACCGGCCAGAUGAGGACCGACACCAUUCCUGCCU
rnacentral:lncRNA from 1 species